UCCCCAGUGGCCUAAAUGAACAAGGCACUGGCCUUCCUAAGCCAGGGAUUGUGGGGUUCGAGUCCCAUCUGGGGUG
rnacentral:tRNA from 1 species